GACAGCGGAAACGUAUCAUUCAGCGUGACACCAUUGUCAACAACUGAAACGACCACUAUGACUGAGCUAGUCACAGGCACUGAUACCCCGAGAGUGGGUUUGUUUGACAUGUUGGACCUCAUCCCCGCUCAACCAGACAGCCUGCCACAAUCAGCCCCUUCAAACGACAGCGGAAACGUAUCAUUCAGCGUGACACCAUUGUCAACAACUGAAACGACCACUAUGACUGAGCUAG